GCUGCACUGGUCCUGCCAGCACCACAGGUGUGGCUGCUCUGCUGCACCUGUGACAUCGGGGCAAAGAGAAAGUGGCUAUUUCUACGCUCAGUGUUCCGAAACCAGUGAACACUAAGAAUGGUUUGUAGCCUGACAUUU
rnacentral:snoRNA from 12 species